rnacentral:rRNA from 1 species
AUUGAACGCUGGCGGCAUGCCUUACACAUGCAAGUCGAACGGCAGCACGGGUGCUUGCACCUGGUGGCGAGUGGCGAACGGGUGAGUAAUAUAUCGGAACGUACCUUAUUGUGGGGGAUAACGCAGCGAAAGCUGUGCUAAUACCGCAUAAUCCCUAAGGGGGAAAGCGGGGGACCGUAAGGCCUCGCGCAAUUAGAGCGGCCGAUACCUGAUUAGCUAGUUGGUGAGGUAAAGGCUCACCAAGGCAACGAUCUGUAGCUGGUCUGAGAGGACGACCAGCCACACUGGAACUGAGACACGGUUCAGACUCCUACGGGAGGCAGCAGUGGGGAAUUUUGGACAAUGGGCGAAAGCCUGAUCCAGCAAUGCCGCGUGAGUGAAGAAGGCC